CUGCAGCCCGAGUAGUGAUCGUUAUUAUUGGGCCUAAAACGUCCGUAGCCUGUUUGGUAAAUGCUUGGGUAAAUCGUGUGGCUUAACCAUACGAAUACCGGGUAGACUGCCAGACUUGAGACCGGGAGAGGUUGGAGGUACUCCUGGGGUAGAGGUGAAAUUCUGUAAUCCUGGGGGGACCACCAGUGGCGAAGGCGUCCAACCAGAACGGGUCUGACGGUGAGGGACGAAGCCCAGGGGCGCAAACCGGAUUAGAUACCCGAGUAGUCC
rnacentral:rRNA from 1 species